GAUGAACGCUGGCGGCGUGCUUAACACAUGCAAGUCGAACGAUGAAGCCCAGCUUGCUGGGUGGAUUAGUGGCGAACGGGUGAGUAACACGUGAGUAACCUGCCCUUAACUCUGGGAUAAGCCUGGGAAACUGGGUCUAAUACCGGAUAGGAGCGUCCACCGCAUGGUGGGUGUUGGAAAGAUUUAUCGGUUUUGGAUGGACUCGCGGCCUAUCAGCUUGUUGGUGAGGUAAUGGCUCACCAAGGCGACGACGGGUAGCCGGCCUGAGAGGGUGACCGGCCACACUGGGACUGAGACACGGCCCAGACUCCUACGGGAGGCAGCAGUGGGGAAUAUUGCACAAUGGGCGCAAGCCUGAUGCAGCGACGCCGCGUGAGGGAUGACGGCCUUCGGGUUGUAAACCUCUUUCAGUAGGGAAGAAGCGAAGGUGACGGUACCUGCAGAAGAAGCACCGGCUAACUACGUGCCAGCAGCCGCGGUAAUACGUAGGGUGCGAGCGUUAUCCGGAAUUAUUGGGCGUAAAGAGCUCGUAGCGGUUUGUCGCGUCUGUCGUGAAAGUCCGGGGCUUAACCCCGGAUCUGCGGUGGGUACGGGCAGACUAGAGUGCAGUAGGGGAGACUGGAAUUCCUGGUGUAGCGGUGGAAUGCGCAGAUAUCAGGAGGAACACCGAUGGCGAAGGCAGGUCUCUGGGCUGUAACUGACGCUGAGGAGCGAAAGCAUGGGGAGCGAACAGGAUUAGAUACCCUGGUAGUCUAUGCCGUAAACGUUGGGCACUAGGUGUGGGGACCAUUCCACGGUUUCCGCGCCGCAGCUAACGCAUUAAGUGCCCCGCCUGGGGAGUACGGCCGCAAGGCUAAAACUCAAAGGAAUUGACGGGGGCCCGCGCAAGCGGCGGAGCAUGCGGAUUAAUUCGAUGCAACGCGAAGAACCUUACCAAGGCUUGACAUGUUCUCGAUCGCCGUAGAGAUACGGUUUCCCCUUUGGGGCGGGUUCACAGGUGGUGCAUGGUUGUCGUCAGCUCGUGUCGUGAGAUGUUGGGUUAAGUCCCGCAACGAGCGCAACCCUCGUUCCAUGUUGCCAGCACGUCGUGGUGGGGACUCAUGGGAGACUGCCGGGGUCAACUCGGAGGAAGGUGAGGACGACGUCAAAUCAUCAUGCCCCUUAUGUCUUGGGCUUCACGCAUGCUACAAUGGCCGGUACAAUGGGUUGCGAUACUGUGAGGUGGAGCUAAUCCCAAAAAGCCGGUCUCAGUUCGGAUUGGGGUCUGCAACUCGACCCCAUGAAGUCGGAGUCGCUAGUAAUCGCAGAUCAGCAACGCUGCGGUGAAUACGUUCCCGGGCCU
rnacentral:rRNA from 1 species